GACGAACGCUGGCGGCGUGCUUAACACAUGCAAGUCGAACGGAAAGGCCCUGCUUGCAGGGUGCUCGAGUGGCGAACGGGUGAGUAACACGUGGGUGAUCUGCCCCUUACUUUGGGAUAAGCCUGGGAAACUGGGUCUAAUACUGGAUAGGACCAUGCUGUAGGUGGUGUGGUGGAAAGAUUAGUUUCGGUAAGGGAUGAGCUCGCGGCCUAUCAGCUUGUUGGUGGGGUAAUGGCCUACCAAGGCGUCGACGGGUAGCCGGCCGGAGAGGGUGGACGGCCACAUUGGGACUGAGAUACGGCCCAGACUCCUACGGGAGGCAGCAGUGGGGAAUAUUGCACAAUGGGCGCAAGCCUGAUGCAGCGACGCCGCGGGGGGGAUGACGGCCUUCGGGUUGUAAACUCCUUUCAGCCAUGACGAAGCCCUUGUGGUGACGGUAGUGGUAGAAGAAGCACCGGCUAACUACGUG
rnacentral:rRNA from 1 species